rnacentral:rRNA from 1 species
UACGUAGGGUGCAAGCGUUGUCCGGAAUUAUUGGGCGUAAAGAGCUCGUAGGCGGUUUGUCGCGUCUGCUGUGAAAACUCGGGGCUCAACUCCGAGCUUGCAGUGGGUACGGGCAGACUAGAGUGCGGUAGGGGAGACUGGAAUUCCUGGUGUAGCGGUGGAAUGCGCAGAUAUCAGGAGGAACACCGGUGGCGAAGGCGGGUCUCUGGGCCGAUAUCGACGCUGAGGAGCGAAAGCGUGGGGAGCGAACAGG